rnacentral:rRNA from 1 species
UACGGAGGGGGCAAGCGUUGUUCGGAAUUACUGGGCGUAAAGCGCGCGUAGGCGGUUUUUCAAGUUAGGCGUGAAAGCCCUGGGCUCAACCCGGGAAUUGCGCUUAAUACUGGAUGACUUGAGGCCGGGAGAGGGUAGUGGAAUUCCCAGUGUAGAGGUGAAAUUCGUAGAUAUUGGGAAGAACACCAGUGGCGAAGGCGGCUACCUGGACCGGUACUGACGCUGAUGCGCGAAAGCGUGGGGAGCAAAC